GACGGAGGAUGCAAGUGUUAUCCGGAAUCACUGGGCGUAAAGCGUCUGUAGGUGGUUUAAAAAGUCUACUGUUAAAAAUUGAAGCUUAACUUCAGAGAUGCCGUAGAAACUUUUAAACUUGAGGAUGGUAGGGGUAGAGGGAAUUUCCAGUGGAGCGGUGAAAUGCGUAGAUCUUGGAAAGACCACCAAUGGCGAAGGCACUCUACUGGGCCGACACUGACGCUGAGGCACGAAAGCGUGGGGAGCGAACAGG
rnacentral:rRNA from 1 species